GUGGGGAAUUUUGGACAAUGGGCGCAAGCCUGAUCCAGCAAUGCCGCGUGCAGGAAGAAGGCCUUCGGGUUGUAAACUGCUUUUGUACGGAACGAAACGGUCCGGGUUAAUACCCUGGGCUAAUGACGGUACCGUAAGAAUAAGCACCGGCUAACUACGUGCCAGCAGCCGCGGUAAUACGUAGGGUGCAAGCGUUAAUCGGAAUUACUGGGCGUAAAGCGUGCGCAGGCGGUUUUGUAAGACAGUGGUGAAAUCCCCGGGCUCAACCUGGGAACUGCCAUUGUGACUGCAAGGCUAGAGUGCGGCAGAGGGGGAUGGAAUUCCGCGUGUAGCAGUGAAAUGCGUAGAUAUGCGGAGGAACACCGAUGGCGAAGGCAAUCCCCUGGGCCUGCACUGACGCUCAUGCACGAAAGCGUGGGGAGCAAACAGGAUUAGAAACCCCAGUAGUCC
rnacentral:rRNA from 1 species